UACGUAGGGGCAAGCGUUGUCCGGAAUCAUUGGGCGUAAAGAGCGCGUAGGCGGCCCUGUAAGUCCGCUGUGAAAGUCAAGGGCUCAACCCUUGAAUGCCGGUGGAUACUGCAGGGCUAGAGUCCGGAAGAGGCGAGUGGAAUUCCUGGUGUAGCGGUGAAAAUGCGCAGAUAUCAGGAGGAACACCGAUUGCGAAGGCAGCUCGCUGGGACGUAACUGACGCUGAGACGCGAAAGCGUGGGGAGCAAACAGG
rnacentral:rRNA from 1 species